UCAACCANUGUAGGCUUUGGAAACUGUUUAACUUGAGUGCAGAAGGGGAGAGUGGAAUUCCAUGUGUAGCGGUGAAAUGCGUAGAUAUAUGGAGGAACACCGGUGGCGAAAGCGGCUCUCUGGUCUGUAACUGACGCUGAGGCUCGAAAGCGUGGGGAGCGAACAGGAUUAGAUACCCUGGUAGUCCACGCCGUAAACGAUGAGUGCUAGGUGUUAGGUCCUUUCCGGGACUUAGUGCCGCAGCUAACGCAUUAAGCACUCCGCCUGGGGAGUACGACCGCAAGGUUGAAACUCAAAGGAAUUGACGGGGGCCCGCACAAGCGGUGGAGCAUGUGGUUUAAUUCGAAGCAACGCGAAGAACCUUACCAGGUCUUGACAUCCCGAUGCCCGCUCUAGAGAUAGAGCUUUACUUCGGUACAUCGGUGACAGGUGGUGCAUGGUUGUCGUCAGCUCGUGUCGUGAGAUGUUGGGUUAAGUCCCGCAACGAGCGCAACCCUUAUUGUUAGUUGCCAUCAUUCAGUUGGGCACUCUAGCGAGACUGCCGGUAAUAAACCGGAGGAAGGUGGGGAUGACGUCAAAUCAUCAUGCCCCUUAUGACCUGGGCUACACACGUGCUACAAUGGCUGGUACAACGAGUCGCAAGCCGGUGACGGCAAGCUAAUCUCUGAAAACCAGUCUCAGUUCGGAUUGUAGGCUGCAACUCGCCUACAUGAAGUCGGAAUCGCUAGUAAUCGCGGAUCAGCACGCCGCGGUGAAUACGUUCCCGGGCCUUGUACACACCGCCCGUCACACCACGAGAGUUUGUAACACCCGAAG
rnacentral:rRNA from 1 species